AGAAUAGAACGUUAUCUGAGUAUGCUUAUGGGGUUGAGAUGUUUAUUAAAAAUGGGUUGAAGCAUUCAAAGACGUCGAAUGUCAUGGCAUGUCCUUGUUUAAAGUGUGUGAAUGCAAAAACUUUAGAUGUGAAUACAAUUAGAGAUCACUUGUUUUUUAACGGCAUCGAUCAGAGUUAUCAAGAAUGGAUUUUUCAUGGUGAAUCACUACCAAUAAAGAGAAACAAUGAAAGUGUCUUUAGCAGUGUAAAAGAAGAAAUUGACGAGGAUGAUGUUGAUGACACAAUUGGAAUGUUUGAGGCUGCACAUAAUUAUUUUAAUGACAAGUCAGAAAAUUUUGAGGAAGUUGUAGAUGAUGCCAAGAAACCAUUAUAUCCUAAUUGUAUGAAUUUUACCAAAAUAUCUACGUUGAUAAAGUUAUAUAAUUUGAAAGCUAAAUUUGGAUGGAGUGAUUAUUUUUGCAAAGUGCCCUCGUCAAUUGGAUUCUGUAGGGUGCGGGUACUACGUCCAAAAGUACAUACAUGAGAUAGUGCAUAAUUCUAGUACUUCUAUUACUAACCUUUUCAAUACCAAAAAUGCAUAUAGGCAAGAGGAGAUUGAUGAGAUUCGAACUGAAUGGGCAGCUUUUGUUAGCAGAUUUGUGUAAGUAGUUGCUUUUUGUAGUUAGGUUAGUAGUUGAUUUUUGUAGUUAGGUUAGUAGUUGAUUUUUGUAGUUAGGUUAGUAGUUGGUCGAGUUAAGUUUUUGUAGGGGACGGGCAGUCCUAUAGUUUUUUGAAGGGCAGGUGGUCCCGUACUAAUUGUUGUUUGUUAGAUAGUUUGUACCUACACUUUAGUUAGUGAAGGAACUUUCUAUUGUGUUUAUAAAUCACGAUCUUAUAUAUUA